AGAGUUUGAUCCUGGCUCAGAACGAACGCUGGCGGCAGGCUUAAUACAUGCAAGUCGAGCGGUCUCUUUCGGGAGACAGCGGCGGACGGGUUAGUAACGCGUGGGAACGUGCCCUUUAGUACGGAAUAGCCAUUGGAAACGAUGAUUAAUACCGUAUACGCCCUAUGGGGGAAAGAUUUAUCGCUAAAGGAUCGGCCCGCGUUAGAUUAGGUUGUUGGUGGGGUAAUGGCCUACCAAGCCUACGAUCAAUAGCUGUUCUUAGAGGAAGACCAGCCACAUUGGGACUGAGACACGGCCCAGACUCCUACGGGAGGCAGCAGUGGGGAAUCUUGCACAAUGGGGGAAACCCUGAUGCAGCGAUGCCGCGUGAGUGAAGAAGGCCCUUGGGUUGUAAAACUCUUUCGUCGGGGAAGAAAAUGACUGUACCCGAAUAAGAAGGUCCGGCUAACUUCGUGCCAGCAGCCGCGGUAAUACGAAGGGACCUAGCGUAGUUCGGAAUUACUGGGCUUAAAGAGCUCGUAGGUGGUUAAAAAAGUUGAUGGUGAAAUCCCAAGGCUCAACCUUGGAACUGCCAUCAAAACUUUUUAGCUAGAGUGUGAUAGAGGUAAGUGGAAUUUCUAGUGUAGAGGUGAAAUUCGUAGAUAUUAGAAAGAACACCAAAUGCGAAGGCAACUUACUGGGUCACUACUGACACUGAGGAGCGAAAGCAUGGGUAGCGAAGAGGAUUAGAUACCCUCGUAGUCCAUGCCGUAAACGAUGUGUGCUAGACGUUGGAAAUAUAUUUUUCAGUGUCGCAGCGAAAGCAUUAAGCACACCGCCUGGGGAGUACGACCGCAAGGUUAAAACUCAAAUGAAUUGACGGGGACCCGCACAAGCAGUGGAGCAUGUGGUUUAAUUCGAAGAUACGCGCAGAACCUUACCAACGCUUGACAUGUUCGUCGCGAGACUAAGAGAUUAGUUUCUUCAGUUCGGCUGGACGAAACACAGGUGCUGCAUGGCUGUCGUCAGCUCGUGUCGUGAGAUGUUGGGUUAAGUCCCGCAACGAGCGCAACCCACGUUUUUAGUUGCCAGCAUUUAGUUGGGCACUCUAGAAAGACCGCCGGUGAUAAACCGGAGGAAGGUGUGGAUGACGUCAAGUCAUCAUGCCCCUUACACCCUGGGCUACACACGUACUACAAUGCUACGGACAAAGGGCAGCAAACUCGCGAGAGCUAGCAAAUCCCAUAAACCGUGGCUCAGUUCAGAUCGUAGGCUGCAACUCGCCUACGUGAAGUAGGAAUCGCUAGUAAUCGCAGGUCAGCAUACUGCGGUGAAUACGUUCCCGGGCCUUGUACACACCGCCCGUCACACCAUGGAAGUUGG
rnacentral:rRNA from 1 species